ensembl:lncRNA
GAGGAUUUGGCAGUGUUUAUGAAGUAACUAGCGCCAAGGACGCAAGCUGUCAAUUUUACUUACAGAACUUUGCAUAUCUGUUUAGGAUUCAUGGCUGGAAUUAUAUGACCUCUGUGCAUAUGCAAAUUGUUAGUUCUUUGUUUUGCUGAUCAGGUGAAAUUUACAGUGAAGAUGCCAGGCAUGCCAUAUAUCAGAGUGCCUGGUCAUCUGGAACACCUCCCCAUGGAGAUCGGCCUGACACUCAUGGCCAAUUAGGUCCCCAUUGUUCCUCAGAUCAUUAAACUGCUGGACUAGCAGGACGACACACACCACUGCAUCAUGGUCAUGGCGCGGCCCUUGCCUUGCAUGGAUUUGUUUCGUUUCGAGGAGCUCUACGGUGGAACCCUUGAAGAGGGGAUGUCACAAAAUGUAAGGUGGCAGGUCACUGAUGCUGCUAACAUUUUUGGGACAUUAAAUUGGAGAACCUGCUGGUGAACCAGGACACCAUGGAGGUCAAAUUGACUGACUUUGGGUGCAGCCUUUAAAGUUUUCCAUGGAACAAAAGUGUACAGUCCUUUAGAGUUCACCAUGAAGGGCAUGUACUAUGCAAGGCCGAUGACAGUGUGGAGACUAGAGGAACAUCCUACAGCCUACGACCGUGACGUGAUCAAUGUGAACCUCUAGACCAGACCUGGACUGUCACGAGUCUUUUUGUACAGAAUGCUGGCAGAUAAUCUGUGUUUGUCUACGGCCUAAGCCACAGAAGAGACCAAUGCAGGAAUUGUAAUACAGAAGCAAAAUAUAGGACAUGCAACACAGAGGAUGAGCUAAUUGACUUAAUACUGAUAUCAAGUGUUGUUUACAUUUAAAUGAGCCUCAACAUUCUAUGUCAGUACAGCAGCUCAAGUUUACAUUUGAAAUCAACACAGCUGUCCCUGAAGCCUGAUCAAAUGUGCAACAGGCUCUAGCAGGGCAUCUACCGCUCUGUGGCACAGCCCAUGAGGAAGACACGCAGUGGUCGGCAACAUCCUUGCAGCCUUGAGCUGAGACUGAAGAUCGAGCAGCGUCUGUGGCAGAUGCUCAACUGCCCUUCACUGGUGGAGACAGAGCAGCCUGACGGACCCGUCCUGAUCACUGAGAGCUUCUCCACAACCAGCAGAAGAUUCACUCCUCAAGUACAUGUGGACAUCAGUGAAGAGCCCGCUCCUGAGAAACCCAGAAGAAAGAAGCCCAGACACUGAGUCACCACAGUGUCACAUGGAGCAUCGCACAGUGGGACCUACAUAUGAAAAUACUGUAUAUAUUGUACAUAGUUAUAGAGUAAGUUUAUAGUUUGUAGAGCAGUUUGUCUGAUAGAGAGAGGACACUUUAGACACCAGUAGACUGUCUCUCUCUCUCUCUCUCUCUGUGUGUGUGUGUGUGUGUGUGUGUGUGUGUGUGUGUGUGUGUAGACUGUCAAGGACAACUCACUGCGUGCAUUCUUAUUAGCACUAACUUUGUUCAAGUUCACAUGUGUAUUCUCUUCAUUGUCUUCAUUGCAGAUGUAAGUUGUAAUAUUAAAUGCAUAGUUCACCC